AGAGUUUGAUCCUGGCUCAGGAUGAACGCUGGCGGCGUGCUUAACACAUGCAAGUCGAACGGUGAAGCCAAGCUUGCUUGGUGGAUCAGUGGCGAACGGGUGAGUAACACGUGAGCAACCUGCCCCUGGACUCUGGGAUAAGCGCUGGAAACGGCGUCUAAUACUGGAUAUGAGCUCCUCGCAUGGUGGGGGUUGGAAAGAUUUUCGGUCUGGGAUGGGCUCGCGGCCUAUCAGCUUGUUGGUGAGGUAAUGGCUCACCAAGGCGUCGACGGGUAGCCGGCCUGAGAGGGUGACCGGCCACACUGGGACUGAGACACGGCCCAGACUCCUACGGGAGGCAGCAGUGGGGAAUAUUGCACAAUGGGCGGAAGCCUGAUGCAGCAACGCCGCGUGAGGGAUGACGGCCUUCGGGUUGUAAACCUCUUUUAGCAGGGAAGAAGCGAGAGUGACGGUACCUGCAGAAAAAGCGCCGGCUAACUACGUGCCAGCAGCCGCGGUAAUACGUAGGGCGCAAGCGUUAUCCGGAAUUAUUGGGCGUAAAGAGCUCGUAGGCGGUUUGUCGCGUCUGCUGUGAAAUCCCGAGGCUCAACCUCGGGCCUGCAGUGGGUACGGGCAGACUAGAGUGCGGUAGGGGAGAUUGGAAUUCCUGGUGUAGCGGUGGAAUGCGCAGAUAUCAGGAGGAACACCGAUGGCGAAGGCAGAUCUCUGGGCCGUAACUGACGCUGAGGAGCGAAAGGGUGGGGAGCAAACAGGCUUAGAUACCCUGGUAGUCCACCCCGUAAACGUUGGGAACUAGUUGUGGGGACCAUUCCACGGUUUCCGUGACGCAGCUAACGCAUUAAGUUCCCCGCCUGGGGAGUACGGCCGCAAGGCUAAAACUCAAAGGAAUUGACGGGGACCCGCACAAGCGGCGGAGCAUGCGGAUUAAUUCGAUGCAACGCGAAGAACCUUACCAAGGCUUGACAUACACCAGAACACCGUAGAAAUACGGGACUCUUUGGACACUGGUGAACAGGUGGUGCAUGGUUGUCGUCAGCUCGUGUCGUGAGAUGUUGGGUUAAGUCCCGCAACGAGCGCAACCCUCGUUCUAUGUUGCCAGCACGUAAUGGUGGGAACUCAUGGGAUACUGCCGGGGUCAACUCGGAGGAAGGUGGGGAUGACGUCAAAUCAUCAUGCCCCUUAUGUCUUGGGCUUCACGCAUGCUACAAUGGCCGGUACAAAGGGCUGCAAUACCGUGAGGUGGAGCGAAUCCCAAAAAGCCGGUCCCAGUUCGGAUUGAGGUCUGCAACUCGACCUCAUGAAGUCGGAGUCGCUAGUAAUCGCAGAUCAGCAACGCUGCGGUGAAUACGUUCCCGGGUCUUGUACACACCGCCCGUCAAGUCAUGAAAGUCGGUAACACCUGAAGCCGGUGGCCCAACCCUUGUGGAGGGAGCCGUCGAAGGUGGGAUCGGUAAUUAGGACUAAGUCGUAACAAGGUAGCCGUACCGGAAGGUGCGGCUGGAUCACCUCCUUU
rnacentral:rRNA from 1 species